rnacentral:rRNA from 1 species
AACGAACGCUGGCGGCAUGCCUAACACAUGCAAGUCGAACGAGACCUUCGGGUCUAGUGGCGCACGGGUGCGUAACGCGUGGGAACCUGCCCUUAGGUUCGGAAUAACUCCCCGAAAGGGGUGCUAAUACCGGAUAAUGUCUUCGGACCAAAGAUUUAUCGCCUUUGGAUGGGCGCGAGUUGGAUUAGCUAGUUGGUAGGGUAAAAGCCUACCAAGGCGACGAUCCAUAGCUGGUCAGAGAGGAUGAUCAGCCACACUGGGACUGAGACACGGCCCAGACUCCUACGGGAAGCAGCAGUGGGUAAUAUUGGACAAUGGGCGAAAGCCUGAACCAGCUAUGCCGCGUGAAUGAUGAAAGUCUUAGAGUUGUAAAGCUCUUUUAACCGGGAUGAUAAUGACAGUACCGGGAGAAUAAGCACCGGCUAACUACGUG